CCUACGGGUGGCAGCAGUGGGGGAUAUUGCACAAUGAGGGAAACCCUGAUGCAGCGACGCCGCGUGUGGGAAGACGGUCCUCUGGAUUGUAAACCACUGUUCCCAGGGACGAAGAUGACGGUACCUGGGGAGGAAGCUCCGGCUAACUACGUGGCAGCAGCCACGUUAAUACGUAGGGAGCAAGCGUUGUCCGGAAUUACUGGGUGUAAAGGGAGCGUAGGCGGGAAGGCAAGUUGUUUGUUAAAUCUACGGGCUCAACUGGUAGUCGCAGUCCAAACUGCUAUUCUUGAGUGAAGUAGAGGCAGGCGGAAUUCCUAGUGUAGCGGUGAAAUGCGUAGAUAUUAGGAGGAACACCAGUGGCGAAGGCGGCCUGCUGGGCUUUUACUGACGCUGAGGCUCGAAAGUGUGGGGAGCAAACAGGAUUAGAUACCCGGGUAGUC
rnacentral:rRNA from 1 species